UACAGAGGGUGCGAGCGUUGUCCGGAAUCACUGGGCGUAAAGGGCGCGUAGGUGGUGGCUUAAGCUUGCGGUGAAAGCUCGGGGCUCAACUCCGAGUCGGCCGUGCGAACUGGGCUCACUGGAGCAUAGUAGAGGCAGGUGGAAUUCCGGGUGUAGCGGUGGAAUGCGUAGAGAUCCGGAAGAACACCGGUGGCGAAGGCGGCCUGCUGGGCUAUGGCUGACACUGAGGCGCGACAGCGUGGGGAGCGAACAGG
rnacentral:rRNA from 1 species